UACGGGGGGGGCAAGCGUUGUUCGGAAUUACUGGGCGUAAAGGGUGUGUAGGCGGUUGUUUAAGUUUGGUGUGAAAUCUCCCGGCUCAACUGGGAGGGUGCGCCGAAUACUGAAUGACUUGGAGUGCGGGAGAGGAAAGUGGAAUUCCUGGUGUAGCGGUGAAAUGCGUAGAUAUCAGGAGGAACACCGGUGGUGUAGACGGCUUUCUGGACCGUAACUGACGCUGAGACACGAAAGCGUGGGUAGCAAACAGG
rnacentral:rRNA from 1 species